rnacentral:tRNA from 1 species
UUUGUUUUAGUUUACAAGAACCUCUAGUUUGCAUCUAGAAAGCGGGAAUCCCCAAACGUUA